GAAUGAGAAGGAGGAGAGAAGGGAAAAUGGCGGCCUUUCUUCUUCAGCACGGCGGAGAGAGAUGAGGGAGAGAGGGAGAGAGAGAGAGU